GCACGCAGCCAUCUCCUGCACUGCAGCUCUGCUCUCUUCUUUGAUUGGUUUUAGCGGUGACGCCCCCUCCGAAUGCCUCGCUCGGAUUGGCCUACUUCUUGGAUCGGACUGGACGGUGGCCAGAGGAGGACAAGAGACUUCUAUACGGUCUGGAGGGACGAUUUGGGUCACAUCUGAGACGGCGUUGCACAUCAACAAGCGUCCAGGCUCCAGGGACAUGGCGGCGGCCUCUGUGAUGUCGGUGCUGCUGAUGGCGACUGAGAGGAACCGGUGGCAGCUAGUCCAGGGCCUGCUGCUGCUGCUGCCGCCCUGGCAACGGUUGUGUCCCUUUCUGCCUUGGUGCCAAUCAAUAUGCUGAAGUCCUCAAAAAGUUCCUGAGAGAUCCAUUUCAAAUUCUAGUGAAGAAAGAACUGAUCUUUGAAAGGCGCUGACAGAAGGAAAGGGGCAUUACCAAGAGGGAACUCCUUGAUAAGAAUUGGAAGCGGGAGUCAGUUUGGGAGGAAAGCUGUGGCCAUAAACAUUGAAGAAGACAAGAAGAUUCUUUGUGACACUGAGACUUUCUAUCACACUACGGUAGAGGAAAUGGCAAAGACUGUGGCUGACCUAAUUUAAUUCCUGGAAUGAAAUGAUUAUGAAUGUAGUGCUUGCUGUUGCUGAACGGGCAAUCACAUUGUGCAUUGUGUUUCUUUUGGGGGUAAUAUGUGAAGCUUGUCUCAGUGCUCAUAACAGAUUAAAAAUACAGAUUUUGAUAGCAAAGCAACUUCAGACAUGAUUUCAUGAUAUCAUUGGUUUUAUCCUCUUGUUUCCUAGUUCUCUACACAUGGUUGUAUUAUUUGCCAUCAUUUAAUAAUAUGGACUGAAAGAUAUAAAAGCAGCUAUUUAUAAAGUUUGUCUGCCUUUACUGUAUUAGUCACUAACUGAAUAGAGCUAACUUUAAAAUGAUUUUUUAAGAAAAUACUUAAAUUUAUUUUGUUUGGUAUCAUUUUUUUCAGUAAGGCAUUUUAUUAGCAGUUAGUUGAAUGUUUAUUGAAUGUUCAAUAAAUUACAGUGAAGUAUUUUUUCUCUAAAGUUGUUUGGUCCUUAUUUUUUAAAGAUUUGUACUUCUUGCCAUAAUCCAUAUUUUCAAACAAAAAAGAUAAACUAGCAGUCUAUAGUAAUAUUUUAAUCUAGUUAUAAAAUUAUACACAAAGGAUACAACAAACAUGGCUUUUCAUAAAAAGGUUUAAUAGUUCCAAGUUAGCUGCUGCUUGGCAGUAGUAUAAAGACUGAUCAAUUGCAGAGUUCACC
ensembl:lncRNA